rnacentral:lncRNA from 1 species
UCAGUGAUACUGCAAGAAUUAACCAACUAAACAAGAAUUUACAAAUAAAACCUAAGAAGUCUGGUGAAGCCUGGGAACUUGGAGGAGAAAUGGGAUCAUACAGGAUGCGGCCUUUCAUUCCAUCUGCUUUCAGCUCUAUUCAAACUGCCAAGACAUGACGAUGUAUACAGCGCCCUGACCCACUCUACUAAGCUGUGGCUAUGCGGAAGGUAUCUGUAAAUUACUACAGAGAGCAUUGAGUAGAUGACGCUACGUGUCAGGGCGCCGCCCGGGCCGGCGGCUC